rnacentral:rRNA from 1 species
UACGUAGGGGGCGAGCGUUGUCCGGAUUUAUUGGGCGUAAAGAGCUCGUAGGCGGUUCGAUAAGUCGGACGUGAAAUCUCCACGCUCAACGUGGAGGGGCCGUUCGAUACUGUCGUGACUCGAGUCCGGUAGGGGAGUGUGGAAUUCCCGGUGUAGCGGUGAAAUGCGCAGAGAUCGGGAGGAACACCCGUAGCGAAGGCGGCACUCUGGCCGGUACUGGACGCUGAGGAGCGAAAGCG